ACGUCGACGCCGGUCGAUUAAUUAAAGCCAAUUAAAGGUAGAACAGCAAAUGACAGCUGUUACACACAAUAGAAAGAUAAAUGCAUAUCUGGUGGGGAGGUAAUGGGACCACUGACAUCUUGAAGCAUUGAUUAGUGGACUCAGAGAAAAGAGAAAAGGUAUGGCAGCUCUUACAGCACAACAGCUGGUGAAGCUGGAGGAUGGAGAGUUUGAUGCCAGAAUUAAGGAUAUGUCUGUCAAGAACCUGAUUGACACAAUCACUGUGCUGCAGAAGGAGAUGAGUAAAGAGCAAGAGAACUUUAAUGCUCUCAGCGGGGAACUCGGGACACUGAAGCGGAAUUCAGGCCAGUAUAAAUCCAUCUCAAAGGAUAUGACGGCAUCACAGACCAGACUUACACUGUUGAUGAAUAGAAGCAUGAAAUGUUUUUCUCAGCAAGGCAACCAGCAGAGCAAGACAGCUGUGGAAAGAAGAAACUCAUUUCAAGGGACACAGUCUAAGGGGAAUGUUCAAAAUAGAGCUUCAGAACCAGUCAAAACUACAGUAGUGACACAGUCUGCUGUUGCAGGCAGAAACUCUGUAAAUACUGCGGACCAGUCUAAAAGACAGUCAGAUAUUGGAACCAGUAAUAGAACAUCUAUAUCAGUGCAGUCUCUGAAAUCUAACAGCCCUGUUUUAAGAAGUAAAGCAAAUGAUGUAAAUGGUUCAGGCAACAUAAAUGGAGAAACAAGACAAAGCUUACCAUUAUCUGUUAAUGAUAAUAAUAAAACUGAAAACAGGUCUCAACUAGCAAAUGAAGUAAAUGACAAUACAAAUGUUAAUGGUCAGCAAAAACCUGUGUCUGUGUCAAAUACAGGUGUCUCUCUUGGGCCAAUGGCAGAACAAAGGAAUAAGUACUUGUCCAAAAGUUCUGACAAUGUUUUUAAGAAGCCGUCUGAAACUGCUCCACAUAAACCUGAAGUUGUGAAAGGUAAAACAUCAGCAAAACCUGUGAGUAAGGUUGUGAUGAAUGCUGAUAAACAAAUAAUUGAUUUAGAUUCGUUUACUGAAAGAAAAAACAUGUUGGACGAGUUGAAAAAGUUUGAUAAAACUUUGAAACCGAGUGUUGCCAGAACACACACGGAAAAGGUAACUGAGGUCAAACUGAAUCUAGCCAAAAGUGGUGAAAAGAGGACAAGUGCCAGUAUGGAACCUAAAGGAUCUGUAACACCAGUAGAACAAACAAUGAAUCUUUUAGGUGAUAUUAAACUCGGAAAGAAACCUUCUGAACUAAAACAAACAAUGAAUGUAAAAACUGAACAAAAUGGAAGUAACCGUGAAAUUAAAGAUACUCGAGAGUCUGUUAAAGUUGAAACAGAUAGUACUAGAGCAUCACGUAAUGAUUCACAGACAAAAAAGUUUGAUGAUUUGUUAAAGGAUGUUGAUAGUGACAAAUCAGAACAAAGUUCAGAUGAUUCUCCAAGGGAGACAGUUGUUGUAUCUAAGCAAAAGAAGACAAGUAUCAUUCCAAAAGUAGAAAAGAACACUACUCCAUCUGAUGUUGGGAGGAGAAAUGGUGAUAUUCCAGCAUCAGGUGAGGUAACUAUAGAAGAAGCAAAGGCAAGCAUUCCAGCUGUAGAAACUAGUGAUGAUAGUUUGAGCCAGUCAUCAGGGAUGUCAGAGGAAGAGGAUAAGUUUGUUACAGAAUUCCACUUCACAGGAAAUCAAAUUAAAACACCUGUUGAAGCAGCCAUUCCAAAGAAACAAGAAAACGUUAAACAAAAACAGGAUGUUACACCUAAAAUACAACAGUCAACUAAAACACCAGCAGCUCCUCAACCUGGUAGCAAUGUUAACAAAGCCGAAGUCAUCACUAAAGGUCAAAGUUCAACAGCAACAGCAGCAUCUGGUAUCCAUGGCAAGCAAGGAUAAUGAUGAGGAGGAAGAGCUUGUUGUGGAUACAAGAGUCAAGUUUAGAGAAUGGGAUCCUUGCAAGUUGCUGGCAAAACUAUAUGAAGUCAGAAUGAUGCCAGACAAUAUAGAGGAUAUAUCCCACAAGUUUAUUGGAAUGGAGGGCCUCAUGGAGAAGUUGCCAAUGAACAAGAAGAAAGCCACACUGCUGAAAACAUGGA
rnacentral:misc_RNA from 1 species